GAUGAACGCUGGCGGCGUGCCUAAUACAUGCAAGUCGAGCGAACAGACGAGGAGCUUGCUCCUCUGACGUUAGCGGCGGACGGGUGAGUAACACGUGGAUAACCUACCUAUAAGACUGGGUUAACUACGGGAAAUUGGAGCUAAUACCGGAUAAUAUAUUGAACCGCAUGGUUCAAUAAUGAAAGACGGUUUUGCUGUCACUUAUAGAUGGAUCCGCGCCGCAUUAGCUAGUUGGGAAGGUAACGGCUUACCAAGGCAACGAUGCGUAGCCGACCGGAGAGGGUGGUCGGCCACACGGGAACUGAGACACGAUCCAGACUCCUACGGGAGGCAACGGUAGGGAAUCUUCCGCUAUGGGCGAAAGCCGGACGGAACAACGCCGCGUGGAGUAUAAAGGUCUUCGGAUCGGAAAACUCUGUUAUUAGGGAAGAACAAAAGUGUAAGUAACUAGACACGUCUUGACGGUACCUAAUCAGUAAGCCACGGCUAACUACGUG
rnacentral:rRNA from 1 species